UGAGUGUAAGUGAUGAGUUGCAUACUGGAGCAGACAUCUCGUUUGACGUCUGCUUCCUGACCUCGUUCCUAAUGGGAGCACCUGGAGACUGGAACAAGUGCACAGGGGCCAUCUGAUACACU